rnacentral:rRNA from 1 species
AUGGGCAGGGGCAAGUUCAAGGGCAAGCCAACCGGCCGCCGCAACUUCUCCACCCCGGAGGAGAUCGCUUCUGGAACUUCAGGGCGUCCACGGUCGUUUAAGAAGAAUGUAGCUGAAGCAGAAGAGGAAGAGGAAGAAGUGGAAGAAUCUGAAGACGAAGAAUCCGAAGACGACGGUGAAGAGAAGAAACAUAAAGGAACUGAAGGUGUUAUUCAAAUCGAAAAUCCAAACCUGGUGAAAGCAAAGAAUAUAAAAGCCAAAGAAGCUGAUCUUGGAAAGACAACUGAACUCUCGAGGCGUGAGAGAGAGGAGAUCGAGAAACAAAAAUCUCAUGAGCGCUAUAUGAAGCUUCAGGAGCAAGGCAAAACAGAACAGGCGAAGAAAGAUUUGGAACGUCUUGCUUUAAUAAGGCAGCAAAGAGCAGAUGCUGCAAAGAAACGCGAAGAGGAGAAAGCUGCUAAAGAACAGAGGAAGACCGAAGCGCGCAAAUAA